rnacentral:rRNA from 1 species
CGCAAGUUGCGCCCGAAGCCAUUAGGUCGAGGGCACGCCUGCCUGGGCGUCACGCAUCACGUCGCCCCCUCCCACCCCUCUCCUUUGCGAGUGUGGGUGGAUCANAGGGGACGGACAUUGGCCUCCCGUGCUCUUCCUGUGCGGCCGGCCUAAAUUUGAU